AGAGUUUGAUCCUGGCUCAGGAUGAACGCUGGCGGCGUGCUUAACACAUGCAAGUCGAACGAAGCACUUUAUUUGAUUUCCUUCGGGACUGAUUAUUUUGUGACUGAGUGGCGGACGGGUGAGUAACGCGUGGGUAACCUGCCUUGUACAGGGGGAUAACAGUUGGAAACGGCUGCUAAUACCGCAUAAGCGCACGGCAUCGCAUGAUGCAGUGUGAAAAACUCCGGUGGUAUAAGAUGGACCCGCGUUGGAUUAGCUAGUUGGUGAGGUAACGGCCCACCAAGGCAACGAUCCAUAGCCGACCUGAGAGGGUGACCGGCCACAUUGGGACUGAGACACGGCCCAAACUCCUACGGGAGGCAGCAGUGGGGAAUAUUGCACAAUGGGCGAAAGCCUGAUGCAGCGACGCCGCGUGAGCGAAGAAGUAUUUCGGUAUGUAAAGCUCUAUCAGCAGGGAAGAUAAUGACGGUACCUGACUAAGAAGCACCGGCUAAAUACGUGCCAGCAGCCGCGGUAAUACGUAUGGUGCAAGCGUUAUCCGGAUUUACUGGGUGUAAAGGGAGCGCAGGCGGUGCGGCAAGUCUGAUGUGAAAGCCCGGGGCUCAACCCCGGUACUGCAUUGGAAACUGUCGUACUAGAGUGUCGGAGGGGUAAGCGGAAUUCCUAGUGUAGCGGUGAAAUGCGUAGAUAUUAGGAGGAACACCAGUGGCGAAGGCGGCUUACUGGACGAUAACUGACGCUGAGGCUCGAAAGCGUGGGGAGCAAACAGGAUUAGAUACCCUGGUAGUCCACGCCGUAAACGAUGA
rnacentral:rRNA from 1 species